AAGGAAGUGAAAAUUUAGUGGUUCCUCUUGGUUCCACCUCCUCUCUCUUCCUGUUCCAUCACAUGUUGUACCAUCUUUAAAUAUCUUUUUGUUUUUGUCUGUUAUUGACCCAAUGAAAUAUAACUGCCAAACAUUAACAUUAGGCUGUUUGGUAUAUAGAACACUUUAACAAGGUGACCUCAGACACUUUUUGAAGAAAUCUUUGUGUGGAUUUUUUUCCAUCCUGAUGAUCAGAAGAGUGUUUGAGGGUGUCAGAGAUCCUUCAGAACAACAGAGAUACCAAAGGAUUUUCUGAAAAUCAACGUGUCGGAUCAGCAGACCUGGACAACAUGGAAAUGUUUGCUGUUACUGCGUCGCCUUUGCUGUUUGUCGGUGUCUUCAUGUUUGUCUCUAGCAGAAAACUAUCACAGCUGAGUCUGGACAGAACAUCACUCUGACAUGUCGAGCUCCGAAUGACAACAUCAUAGUUACAGAGUGGAGCAGAGCCGAUCUGGAGAUGGAACAUGUCCUCUUGUACCGAGAUGAACAGUUUGAUCCAGAUGAACAGCAUCCAUCUUUUAAGAACCAGGUGGAUCUGCAGGACAGACAGAUGAAGGAUAGAGACGUUUCUUUGAUUCUGAAGGAUGUGACGAUAAAUGACACUGGAACAUACGAAUGUCGUGUUGUCCAGAGAAGAACAAGCCGCAGGAAGAGAGCUCAUCUGAAGACUCACCCCAUCAGCAUCAUCACUCUGAGUGUUGUUGAUCCUCCAGGUGAAGGUAGAAAGUGUGUGAGCUGUGAAUUCAGCAGCAUGGAUCAGUGUGAGGACAGAGAGGAGGGAGUCCCUCCCUCUAAAACCACUCUGUGUGGGGAGCAUGAGAGCCAGACCAAAGCUGAAAGGAACCAACCUGGACCUCCACCCAGCUGUGUGUCCUUAAAGAGUGACCGGUCUAAUGAACAUUUAAUUAAUUUUAAAGACCAGCAGGUGUCUGCUGCAGAGAGGAUCCUUCAGAAACUCAAAACUGAACCUGGACCCAGCUGUGUGUCCUUAAGGAGUGACUGGUCUAAAAGUCAACCAAUUGAUUUUAAACUCCAGCAGGAAUCUGCUGCAGAGAG
ensembl:lncRNA